rnacentral:tRNA from 1 species
GGAAGAGUGCCUGAAUACCCAAGGACUACUUUGAUAGAGUACAUCAUAGGGGCUAAAUUCCCUCUACUUCCU